UACGUAGGGUGCAAGCGUUAAUCGGAAUCACUGGGCGUAAAGCGCACGUAGGCGGAUCUUUAAGUCAGGGGUGAAAUCCUGGAGCUCAACUCCGGAACUGCCUUUGAUACUGGAGAUCUCGAGUCCGGAAGAGGUGAGUGGAACUCCGAGUGUAGAGGUGAAAUUCGUAGAUAUUCGGAAGAACACCAGUGGCGAAGGCGGCUCACUGGUCCGGUACUGACGCUGAGGUGCGAAAGCGUGGGGAGCAAACAGG
rnacentral:rRNA from 1 species